rnacentral:misc_RNA from 1 species
GAUGAAGAACGUAGCGAAAUGCGAUAAGUAGUGUGAAUUGCAGAAUUCAGUGAAUCAUCGAAUCUUUGAACGCACAUUGCGCCUCCUGGUAUUCCGGGAGGCAUGCCUGUUCGAGCGUCAUUAAAAUCACUCAAGCUUAGGUUUACCUAUUGCUUGGUCUUGGAGAUGGAAGCCAAUUUAUUGGAAUCCUCUUCGAAAUUCAAUGGCGAAGACCCUUGCUCUCCCAAGUGUAGUAAUAACUUAUGUCACUGAAGGAAGCGAGAAAUCUUCUGCCGUAACCCGCAUAUUUUCUAUGAUUGACCUCGGAUCAGGUAGGGAUACCCGCUGAACUUAAGCAUAUCAAUAAGCGGAGGA